rnacentral:rRNA from 1 species
GGCAUGCAAGUUGAACGAGAAAACUAACUUCGGUUAGUGAGUAUAGUAGCGCACGGGUGAGGAGUACUUAGGUAACUUACCCUCUCGCUGGGGAUAACAGGUGGAAACGCCUGCUAAUACCGAAUAGUCUUACUUGAUCUCCGGAUCGAAUAAGUAAAGCUACGGCGCGAGAGGAGAGGCCUCAGUCCUAUUAGUUUGUUGGUAAGGUAAUGGCUUACCAAGACUACGAUAGGUAGCUGGUCUGAGAGGAUGUACAGCCACACUGGAACUGAAACACGGUCCAGACUCCUACGGGAGGCAGCAGCUAGGAAUAUUGCGCAAUGGGGGAAACCCUGACGCAGCAACGCCGCGUGAGUGAUGAAGGCCUUCGGGUUGUAAAGCUCUUUUAGUUAGGAAGAAAAAAAUGACGGUACUAACAGAAAAAGCACCGGCAAACUUCGUGCCAGCAGCCGCGGUAAUACGAAGGGUGCAAGCGUUACUCGGAUUUACUGGGCGUAAAGCGUCCGCAGGCGGUUUAGUUAGUCUGAUGUGAAAGUCCACUGCUCAAAGGUGGAAGUGCAUUGGAUACUGCUAGACUAGAAUAUUGGAGGGGUCAGUGGAAUUCCUGGUGUAGAGGUGAAAUUCGUAGAUAUCAGGAGGAACAACGGAAGCGAAGGCGACUGACUGGACAAUUAUUGACGCUCAUGGACGAAAGUGUGGGGAGCAAACAGGAUUAGAUACCCUGGUAGUCCACACCGUAAACGAUGGAUACUAGAUGUUGGGGACCUACCGCCUCAGUGUCGUAGCUAACGCGUUAAGUAUCCCGCCUGGGUAGUACGAUCGCAAGAUUAAAACUCAAAGAAAUUGACAGGGACCCGCACAAGCGGUGGAUGAUGUUCUUUAAUUCGAUGCAACGCGAAGAACCUUACCUGGGCUUGAAAUCCCGCGCUACCCUUAGAAAUAAGGGGGUUCUCUUCGGAGACGCGGUGACAGGUGUUGCAUGGCUGUCGUCAGCUCGUGUCGUGAGAUGGUUGGGGUUAAGUCCCGCAACGAGCGCAACCCCCGCCAUUUAGUUGCUACCAUUUUAG